rnacentral:rRNA from 1 species
CCUACGGGUGGCAGCAGUGGGGAAUAUUGCGCAAUGGGCGAAAGCCUGACGCAGCGACGCCGCGUGAGGGAUGAAGGUCUUCGGAUCGUAAACCUCUGUCAGCAGGGAAGAACGGUCACUGUGCUAAUCAGCAGUGAAUUGACGGUACCUGCAAAGGAAGCACCGGCUAACUCCGUGCCAGCAGCCGCGGUAAUACGGAGGGUGCGAGCGUUAAUGGGAAUUACUGGGCGUAAGGCGCUCGUAGGCGGUAGGUAAAGUCAAGGGUGAAAUCCCCGCGCUAAACGUGGGAACUGCCUUUGAAACUGGCAAGCUGGAGUGUGUGAGAGGAUAGUGGAAUUCCAGGUGUAGGAGUGAAAUCCGUAGAUAUCUGGAGGAACAUCAGUGGCGAAGGCGACUAUCUGGCACAUAACUGACGCUGAGGAGCGAAAGCGUGGGUAGCAAACAGGAUUAGAUACCCCAGUAGUC